GCUGAAGGAACUUUUUGUCUUUUAAGGAAGGAAGGAAGGAAGGAAGGAAGGAAGGAAGAAAGAAAGAAAGAAAGAAAGAAAGAAAGAAAGAAAGAAAGAAAGGAAGGAAGGAAGAAAGAAAAGUUUGUCCGAGUGAUGGGAAUACACCUCUGAGGCUUCCAUUGUUAGGUGGGAUCAGGUGACCAGAGUGUGGCAGCUCCUGGAUUCUGUGAAAGUAGGCACAGGAUGUUAGCAUCCCAUGUUCACUGCUAUGGAUGCCUGUGUAUAUGGCUAAUACGGAGGCUGCUGGAUCUAUUCCUUGAGAGCAACACACAGUACUAUCGGAGCGUAAUACCAACAGCUCAGUGCCUGGUGCUUGGCCUCAGAACAUCUCAGCUGAAGUCCCAGCAUGCCCCAUGCCUCCAACUUUUAAGCUCAACAGUUAAUCUCAAAAUUGUGCCCAAUUAAAAUGGGCAGGAGAAUGUAUUUCCCUCUGCAUUGUCUACACGUGUGUUCUAUGUGACUAGGUUUUCCUGACGUAGUUCCUCGAACACCACUAGUCUGGACUAAAUGGAGAGGUUAAAUAUUCAACUCUUAAUAUUCAAUACAAAAGGAGGGAAUCAAGAGAUCAGGAAAGAUAAAAUAUGUGUUACUUUGCAAGAUUUUGUGAGAACAAAAAAAAAAUGGAAGGAAGAGUUCUCCCUCCUUGGUUUGGUACCUCUUUAAAAAUGUUAUACACAAUGGGUUUUUAAAUGAAGGAGAUAGAUAUAUAUUUUCUAAAUAUUAUGGAAUGAAAGAAGCAACUGGGCACAUUUGGUAUUAGCGCAUUCUUGGGGCGGAGAGGGGGGGGUCAAUCAAUGUCCAUGACUUUGCUUUAGAAAUUAGAAAGAUUGCUAUCAGGAUUUUAAUUCACCCCGACAAAGUUAUUGGUCAUAGCAAACCAAAUUUCAAAAUGAUCCUCUCUCAGGGCAAUUGUUAGCAUUUUCCCCACUUUGUAGUUUUCUGAGAUUGUAACUUUUCACGGCAGGGUAGCUGCAGUGUCUCAGGUCUGCCUCACAUAGGAGAGAAGGACUGGGAGGCUUACCUUUCCUUUGUUGUAGAAAACUCCGGGCGCACGGUUCCCUUUAAACAGUUUCACUCUUCUCAGCCCAACCUUUCUCUCCAUUUUUGGAAAAUACCUAAAUCAACCCAGACACCCAACACCUUCAUCUCUGAAAGAUUUUGGAAUGGCUUGUAGUCUCAUUGUGACACGGAGUGAAAGGUGAAGGAAACGGUUGCCUAUUUUUUAAGCAUUCCUUGCAAUUUUACUCAUUUUACUCCAAACUGCAGUCAAGGAAGCAUUUUUUUUUUUUUUUGCACCAGCACGCUGAGCUGAGAAGUGUACAACAACUGUACUAUGUCUUUUGUUGAAGCCUCCCGUGCGGCUGUAAUUUAACUGUUACUUGGCACCACUUGGUAGAAGACGCUUCAAAGCGUACAGUUCUGUAAGAGGUUGCCCGCGAGUUUAUAUAAAGUAAUUAAUGAUUCCCCACCCCAGCCCAGCCAAUGUGUAUGUAUGGCUAUGUGGAAAUGAUGGCGGUACAUCAGCUUAACUUAUGGGUAAUAUAUAUUUACAUCAUGCAUUUGAUAGAAUGGCAGACAUUCGGUGCUUUUGAAGGCAAGAUAUGUACACAGCCUAAUAGAAGAAACGUGGGCAGGAUCAAUAAAGCUAGGAUAGCUGUAAUUUCUCUGUGAUUUCGAAUGAUCGGGCAACGCCAUACAAAUGCUUCUGUUUGUACUCUGAGUCCCUAUGCUUUCGAGUGGAUUCCUCCUGUUUCUCGGAUGUAAAACCGGGCGCCCAGGCAUUCAGAGUGCCUGUGACACCCAGGUUUUUAUAUAUUAGCAGGCAACUUCUUCAUCACAAGGGCAGGUUUCUCAACACUCCCCUCUUCCUCGUGGAGCCCAUCAGCGAAGUUCAGUGAAAUGAAUAACAUAAUUGGUGGUUGGUUCAAUCACUACCAGUCUAGACUAGCCCAGACGCAUCAAUUAGAGGGGACUGUCUUUUAGAGGGAGAGUGUAACCGAAACAAGCAGGGUAUUAUUGAUACUGAUCUUUAAAAGCGAAAAUCCAGCCUGGCAGAUAAAAAAAAA
rnacentral:lncRNA from 1 species